AUUGAACGCUGGCGGCAGGCCUAACACAUGCAAGUCGAACGAGUGGCGGACGGGUGAGUAAUGUCUGGGAAACUGCCUGAUGGAGGGGGAUAACUACUGGAAACGGUAGCUAAUACCGCAUACCAUCGGAUGUGCCCAGAUGGGAUUAGCUAGUAGGUGGGGUAAAGGCUCACUUAGGCGACGAUCCCUAGCUGGUCUGAGAGGAUGACCAGCCACACUGGACCUUAGCACCGGUCCAGUCUCCUACGGUAGGCAGCAGUGGGGAUUAUUGCACAAUAGGCGCAAUCCUGAUGCAGCCAUGCCGCGUGUAUGAAGAAGGCCUUGGGGUUGUAAAGUACUUUCAGCGGGGAGGCGUUACCCGCAGAAGAAGCACCGGCUAACUCCGUGCCAGCCGCCGCGGUAAUUC
rnacentral:rRNA from 1 species